GAGGGUAUAGCUCAGUGGUAGAGUACAUGCCUAGCGUGCGUGAGGGUCCUGGGUUCAAUCCCCGGUACCUUCA
rnacentral:tRNA from 1 species